GAUGAACGCUGGCGGCGUGCUUAACACAUGCAAGUCGAACGAUGAACCGGGUGCUUGCACUCGGGGAUUAGUGGCGAACGGGUGAGUAACACGUGUGCAACCUGCCCCUGACUCUGGGAUAAGCGCUGGAAACGGCGUCUAAUACUGGAUAUGUCCCGUCACCGCAUGGUGUGCGGGUGGAAAGAUUUUUCGGUUGGGGAUGGGCUCGCGGCCUAUCAGCUUGUUGGUGAGGUAAUGGCUCACCAAGGCGUCGACGGGUAGCCGGCCUGAGAGGGUGACCAGCCACACUGGGGCUGAGACACGGCCCAGACUCCUACGGGAGGCAGCAGUGGGGAAUAUUGCACAAUGGGCGGAGGCCUGAUGCAGCAACGCCGCGUGAGGGAUGACGGCCUUCGGGUUGUAAACCUCUUUUAGCAGGGAAGAAGCGAGAGUGACGGUACCUGCAGAAAAAGCACCGGCUAACUACGUGCCAGCCGCCGCCGUAA
rnacentral:rRNA from 1 species